rnacentral:rRNA from 1 species
GACGAACGCUGGCGGCGUGCUUAACACAUGCAAGUCGAACGGAAAGGCCCUGCUUUUGUGGGGUGCUCGAGUGGCGAACGGGUGAGUAACACGUGAGUAACCUGCCCUUGACUUUGGGAUAACUUCAGGAAACUGGGGCUAAUACCGGAUAGGAGCUCCUGCUGCAUGGUGGGGGUUGGAAAGUUUCGGCGGAUGUGGAUGGACUCGCGGCUCAUCAGCUUGUUGGUGGGGUAGUGGCUUACCAAGGCUUUGACGGGUAGCCGGCCUGAGAGGGUGACCGGCCACAUUGGGACUGGGAUACGGCCCAGACUCCUACGGGAGGCAGCAGUGGGGAAUAUUGCACAAUGGGCGGAAGCCUGAUGCAGCAACGCCGCGUGCGGGAUGACGGCCUUCGGGUUGUAAGCCGCUUUCGCCUGUGACGAAGCGUGAGUGACGGUAAUGGGUAAAGAAGCACCGGCUAACUACGUG